AUAAGGCCUUGCUGUCUAAGUUACAGAUAGACGUUUGAAGAUAGGUAGGACUCAAAAAUGUAACAGUGGUUUAACCACUAUAAAUUUGACUAAAUGCUGGAAACCCUCGUUAAUGUUUACUUACUUGUUUCGCAUCUGCAUGCAAGUGAAAAUAGUAAACCAGUCAAUUGUUGACGCAAGACAAUCAGCAGGAAAGAUCCUAAGCGAAAGCGAAGGAAAUCCUCACAGACUAUACGUCAAAUAUCCCUUUUCGGGGAUGAAGAUAUAGUCGGAUCUCUUUAGUGAUAAAGAG
rfam:Microgenomates bacterium GW2011_GWB1_45_17 TX00_C0006, whole genome shotgun sequence.